rnacentral:rRNA from 1 species
CGGGUGGUAAUGCCGGAUGCUCCAGUUGACCGCAUGGUCCUCUGGGAAAGCUUUUGCGGUAUGGGAUGGGGUCGCGUCCUAUCAGCUUGAUGGCGGGGUAACGGCCCACCAUGGCUUCGACGGGUAGCCGGCCUGAGAGGGCGACCGGCCACAUUGGGACUGAGAUACGGCCCAGACUCCUACGGGAGGCAGCAGUGGGGAAUAUUGCACAAUGGGCGCAAGCCUGAUGCAGCGACGCCGCGUGCGGGAUGACGGCCUUCGGGUUGUAAACCGCUUUUGACUGGGAGCAAGCCCUUCGGGGUGAGUGUACCUUUCGAAUAAGCACCGGCUAACUACGUGCCAGCAGCCGCGGUAAUACGUAGGGUGCAAGCGUUAUCCGGAAUUAUUGGGCGUAAAGGGCUCGUAGGCGGUUCGUCGCGUCCGGUGUGAAAGUCCAUCGCUUAACGGUGGAUCCGCGCCGGGUACGGGCGGGCUUGAGUGCGGUAGGGGAGACUGGAAUUCCCGGUGUAACGGUGGAAUGUGUAGAUAUCGGG